UGUCGCGAUGUUUUGUGUGAUGAUAAUGCCGCUUUACAUUUGUCCAUCUGCAGGCGUGUGAUAUGAUAACAAUGUCCCAGUCCCUGAGUGGAUCAUGCCCAUCUCCCGCCAUUGUAUGGUGCUGCCUCACAGGCUGCUUCUUAGGCCUGGAUUAAACUGCUGUGAUAUAUAGGAUCUCAUAAACACUUCACUUUGAUUUGGUUUCUCUGCCAACUGAGAUUUUGCAUCUUCUCCCGGUUAUUUGGCUCAUGCUGUCACCAGGUAAACCGGCACCACAACCAGACUCUGCUCCGGGCACCAGCCGCUGACACAAAGGCUGCAACACGCUGCUUGUUUGUGAAUUUUUAAUCGCUUGUUAAAAAUUUAACUAAUUUAUGGAAAUAAUUGUGUGAUGAAGGAAGGACCUGCUGUCAGGGGUGGGGCCUUUGAAGUCACACUUCGGGGGGGCGGAGUCGGAAGGCAGGGAAGGCGUCUGACUCCAACGACAUCUCAUUGGGGUUCGGUAAAGCUCAGGGGGCUGACAGUGGGCUUGAAUUACAGGGCUUUGGGGAAACACAUGAUGGGGAUAAUGACAGUGAUACUGACACUGGUGACGAUAAUUAUGUAGAUGGUGACGAUGGUAACGACAGUGAUGGUAACUGGCAAUGGUGGUGGUGGCGAUGAUGGUGACUGUAGCGGUGGUGGUGGUGAUGAUAACAGUAGUUAUUGCAAUGAUGGCAACAGUGAUAAUGGAGAUGAUGACAGUGGCGAUGGUGGUGAGGAUGAUGGUGACUGAUAUAGUGACGGUAAUGGUGAAAAUGGUGGCUCAUGAUGGAGAUGGUGACAGAGUUAAUUGUGAUGAUAUUGAUAAUGGUGGCAUUGAUGACAUUUAUUAUGCUUCCUCUCUCAUUUACGACAGCGACAGCAUGUGUAGCAGAUUUAAGAUGCCCACGCAUGUCUGACAUGAAGCUCUCAUACUAUAUGGGUGUAUUUCGGCGCCCGGGGCCUUUUGCUCGCUUCUGCCCCAAAGGUACCUGCGUGUGUUUUUAUUUUAUUCCAGCACGACAGCUCUAAGGUGUGUGGAUCUCAUGUGACGGUUUUCAUUUCACUGGCUGCUUUUUCCCCAGCAUGGAAAUCAUGGUUUAUUGCCACUCUCUCCCCCCCCCCUCCCCCCCCCCCCCUUUGAAGCUCGCCCGAUUACUGCUGCUCCAGCACGGCUGAAUCACAGAUUUUAAUUCCUGCCUCUGAAUCGACAGUACCGGCUCACAGCCAGACGGGUUUUGCUCUGGUUUGUUGGUGUUCAGUCAGCACGCCAUUCAGCUCUCUGGCUCAUGGAUUUUAAUAAUAAAGGCCUUUUAUAAACAUGUGCCACGAGAAGAAUCAAUUUUACUCAACGAUGAGUAUGAUAAUUCAGUUAGGACUGAUUUUAUAUACUGAAGCCAUGCUCUCCUGCAAUGACCAAUGACCAAUAACUGGCUGCUUUAUCAGAUUGCAUUAUAGGAAAUGUAGGCGCACCAGAGUGGUAGUGACAUUGUCAUCUGUUGAGGCAUGACUCAGACUGCCAUUUCCCGUGAUGCUCUAGGAGCUGAUGCUAGAGUGGGUCUGUCAAGGGGAAAGGACACACAUGCAUUUCAUUUCAUGAUUUUAAUGUUGCAGGCCACUGCAGGUCUGUUUUUCUGCAUGAGGCGAGCGGUAGACGCUCCCAGGUCUCGGGGCCAAACAUUUUGGAUCUCUGCCUCCUCAGCCUCCCCCAGCAGUCCUCCAGUAAAUGAGCAUGAGCCCCAUUCAUGUGGGGCCUGGCCAGGGCUUAAGCGCCAAGUGUGAGGUGCCAGUACUUCAGGCUCCCUCUGAUCCUUUUGGUUGCUUAAAGAGCAGGCCUGUGGCCCACCUGUGACCCGUGAUGAUCUGGAUAGAGGCAGGGGGUGGGGCAGCCCUGUUCUGCUCCCAGUUCUGCAUCCAGAGAUCACAUCUCAUUUUGUAUCUAUAGGCUCUUCCCACCUUCGAAAAUAGGUGCAAUCAGAACGUUUGGAGGACAUGAGAACAUGUCGAGCUGGCCCACUGCUACUUGCCAAGGCUCAGCUCCUAUCCCUACACACCAUCCAAGCUGAAGGAGCCACCAGGCAUCCUGCUAUAGCCUCCUGGCUUGUCAUCAUGCUGAGGGUGGUUGGGUGGGGGCAGGAUAGCCGUUUCCUUGCAGAAUGCCACCUGCCCCCUGACACGAGCUUUUGGCUGAUGGACCAGUAACGGAGUUGACAGACCCAGCUGACAAAAGCAGUUGUCUUGCACCUGCUCUGCCCUACCAGAGGGUGGCACCAUGAGCCUCAGAGCAAACUUCAGUUGCCAAUGGAGGGCACUUGCACCAAGAUGCCACAUAGGUUUCUCAUUUCAAUGCAGUCUUAGUACAUGCAGUCAGUUUCCCUGCUUUGCUGCACUCGGGUUUACGUAUCGAGCUGAAUCGAUAUCGCCUCUGCAGACGAUGGAAAGAAUAUCACUUCAUUGUUUCUGAAAUGAGCUGGAUUAUAAUUCAAAACCCUCUGACUUUUGAUUCCUAGAAGGUACUAGGCUGUGGAAGUAAUUCUUCACUCUGAAGCCGCACUUUACUUAUUAUAUAUUGAUCUGAGGGCUGGCCAGCCAUUUAGCGAUUCGCCUUGGUGAUUUUCGCUUACCGUAGGCUUCAGAAUGAGCUUUUGCUGCUGAUACUCGAUGACAGGACAUAAUAUCGGUGCUGAGAUGUUCCCAGUAGUUUGUCAGCAUCCUUAACCCAGUCCAUAGGGCCAAGGCCACUACAGCUUGAUUUUGUUAAUGCAGUAUGCUGAUGGACAGAUGGGCAGAUCGGUGGAAUCUGUCUGACUGUUCACCUCCUGCCUAAUCACUCGUUUGUAAAUCUGUUUAAAAAAAACAGUCACAGGGAGAGGUUUUUUUGGGGUUUUGUGCAGAGUGAGGUCAUGAUGAUUUUAAAGGGUCUUAUCUUAUUUUGUCUUUUAAUUGCAGUAUAAUAUUAUUGCAGGUAAGAAGACACACAGAUAAGGCCAUUGUCAUAAGGUACAAACACAAGGUAGGAAAGCAAGAGAAGGCAGGCAGAGAGGGUCAUAAGGCACAGAGCAGGUGAUAAGGCAGGCAGAGAGGGUCAUAAGGCACAGAGAGCAGGUGAUAAGGCAGGCAGAGAGGGUCAUAAGGCACAGAGAGCAGGUGAUAAGGCAGGCAGAGAGGGUCAUAAGGCACAGAGAGCAGGUGAUAAGGCAGGCAGAGAGGGUCAUAAGGCACAGAGAGCAGGUGAAAGGGCAGGCAGAGAGGGUCAUUAGGCACAGAGAGCAGGUGAUAAGGCAGGCAGAGAGGGUCAUAAGGCACAGAGAGCAGUUGAUAAGGCAGGCAGAGAGGGUCAUAAGGCACAGAGAGCAGGUGAUAAGGCAGGCAGAGAGGGUCAUAAGGCACAGAGAGCAGGUGAUAAGGCAGGCAGAGAGGGUCAUAAGGCACAGAGAGCAGGUGAUAAGGCAGGCAGAGAGGGUCAUAAGGCACAGAGAGCAGGUGAUAAGGCAGGCAGAGAGGGUCAUAAGGCACAGAGAGCAGGUGAUAAGGCAGGCAGAGAGGGUCAUAAGGCACAGAGCGGGUGGUAAGGCAGGCAGAGAGGGUCAUUAGGCACAGAGAGCAGGUGAAAGGGCAGGCAGAGAGGGUCAUUAGGCACAGAGAGCAGGUGAUAAGGCAGGUAGAGAGGGUCAGACACAGAAAAGCACCAAGAUGUAGAGGUAUGUCGGAGCUGCAGUCCUGUCCUCCAUCUGGCUGAAUAGCUCACAGCAUCCUGGACUUGCAGCUUACUGUUGCAAGGGGUGCUUUUCCUCAGACACACCGUGGUAAAAUAUGGAUUUUUUGUCUCCUUUGGAGGUGUUGGGAGUCCUAAUGUGUGUAUCGAUUUCUCCUGAUUAUGGAACGCGGGGGGGUUAUCUUUUAUCUAAAUUGAGCUAUAAUUGGCUGUGCCGAGCCUGCUCUUACAGUGCCGCCUCGCAAAGUGUCACAGUGCACAAGCUGUCAGGCAUGAUUUAGCAGCUUGCUGGGCACCUUUCCGCCACGCAUGGGCCCUUGUUAAACUAGCCCACAAAGGAAGUUUAGAACCUGGGCUCUCUCUGCUCAGCUCUGCGCGAGAGACCCAGUGUGACCGUGGCACACUCGCUGGCACUGUGCCACCCAGAGAAGAGGAGGAGCCAAUCAGUGCGCCUGGCAGCCAGAUACCCAGAAUGCCCUGCAUGGGAUAAUUAGUAUGGAAGGCCUGCUUCGGAGAGCAUAGCAGGGAAACAUAGCAGGCCACUGGUGGUCCACAAGUACUCCGGAAGUGGCCUUCAAAGGCUGCAGGCUCUGCUGGUUUUGAUCAGUCUUGGCUCUUCAAAUGUACCCCCCUGUCCCGGUGCCCCAGUGCAUACUGGAAAUGAUAUGGACUGGAAAAGCCUCCCAGCUGCAAUGCCCAACAUAUUGGGUGGAUCCCUGUGUCUGUGAUGAUUAGGAUCAUGUGGAAUUUUGAUGCAUUUCCUUUCGGUGUUUGGUCACAAAUCCCGGUGCUGUUUUGAGAUGUUCGAAUCUGCUGUAUCAUACAGGCCAUGUGUGAUCAGAUUACACACCGUUGCUAAUACUCAGCUGGUCAUCAGGCAUUAAACGACAAACCUUCCCAAAGCUCCCUAACCACAUACACUGGUGCAGGAUGUCUGUUUAAUUUAUGCUGCAUGUACAACAGGCUUUGCUAAUAUUCUUCCGGUCCUGUGGAGUACUCUUCACUCGGAUGCAGCCAUUGGCACAGUCAGUAGUGACAUCA